GCCUGGACUGCACAGUGGGUUCAAGGCCAAUCAGAUCUACAUAGUGAGGCCCUGUCUCACAAAAACAAAAACCUGAACCAAAACAAUGAAGGCCGUUUUCUCCCCUGCAGGUGAGGUCGGGAACCAUCUUUGAUAACUUCCUGCUCACAGAUGAUGAGGAGUAUGCAGAAAAUUUUGGGAAAGCCACCUAGGGCCAAACCAAGGGCCCGGAGAAGGAGAUGGAUGACAUCCUGAUCAAGGAGGAGGUGACCAGAGCCCGCGAGGAGGAGGAGGAGGAGCUGCCGGCGGGCAGGUUCCACGGGGCUCAGGGGCCCUUCCCUGAGUUUCAGAGGCAGAACGAGCUGUAGUUCUCCCUGCUGCGGAGGGCAGAGGUGACUGGUAAAACCUCCCUUCUACUUUAAUCCACAUUUCAAAACUCAGCCUCUGUGUGCUCAUUUGCCCAGUGCCCUUGAAAAAUGUCCCCAGGGGCCUGGCGUGGUGGUGCACGCCUAUGACCUCAGCACUGUGGAGGCUGCGGCAGGAGGAUCGCCUUGAGUUCCGGGCCAGCCUGGGUUACACAGUGAGUUUGAGUUUAAGGCAGCCUGAACUAUACGGGGAGACCCUGUCUCACUGUCCUGCCCCCCCCCCCCGCAAAAGAAAAGAAAAGAAAACCGUCCCCAGGCUCCUUAGUGGGGUGGGUUGCAUGUCUCCCCAAGACACCUACACUGGAAGGUUCCCUCCACGGAUCUGCACAGCAAAGACACAGCGCUGCUUUCUUAAUCUCUG
rnacentral:lncRNA from 1 species